CCUACGGGGUGCAGCAGUAGGGAAUUUUCGGCAAUGGGGGGAACCCUGACCGAGCAACGCCGCGUGAACGAAGAAGGCUUUCGGGUUGUAAACUUCUUUUCUCAGGGACGAAGAAAGUGACGGUACCUGAGGAAUAAGCCACGGCUAACUACGUGCCAGCAGCCGCGGUAAUACGUAGGUGGCAAGCGUUAUCCGGAUUUACUGGGUGUAAAGGGCGUGUAGGCGGGGAAGCAAGUCAGAUGUGAAAACCACGGGCUCAACCUGUGGCCUGCAUUUGAAACUGUUUUUCUUGAGUACUGGAGAGGCAGACGGAAUUCCUAGUGUAGCGGUGAAAUGCGUAGAUAUUAGGAGGAACACCAGUGGCGAAGGCGGUCUGCUGGACAGCAACUGACGCUGAGGCGCGAAAGCGUGGGGAGCAAACAGGAUUAGAUACCCGUGUAGUC
rnacentral:rRNA from 1 species